CGCCAGCUCCCCAAAGCGCCUUUCGUGGAUCUGGAUCCCUGCACGCGUACAAUGAAGGAGGUUUUCCUUGGACCCUUAGGAAGCCCACCCAGGGGAUCCCACGAAGCCCCCUCGCCCCAUUUGCCCGCGCAGGCAUCCCUGGGACUCUGUGGGUUCCGCGCGGAAAGAGGAUCAGGAUCCUCAGGAGCGUGUCCUGGCGGCCAGAUUAAGGCAGUGUCAGACUGACAGACAAGCUGAGAUACAAUCCAUCAAAAUUCAAUGACAGCGGCUGCGUGAAUCUUCCCAGUCAAAGGACCCAUUUUCAUGAUAGACAGCCCCCGUGGCUGGAGGCUCAACCCCCAGGGUGUGCCUAUACAGGCCAAAGACUGCCAGCAUUAGCACAGGAUCAGGAUCCUCAGGAGCGUGUCCUGGUGGCCAGAUUAAGGCAGUGUCAGACUGACAGACAAGCUGAGAUACAAUCCAUCAAAAUUCAAUGACAGCGGCUGCGUGAAUCUUCCCAGUCAAAGGACCCAUUUUCAUGAUAGACAGCCCCCGUGGCUGGAGGCUCAACCCCCAGGGUGUGCCUAUACAGGCCAAAGACUGCCAGCAUUAGCACAGGGCCUUUCUUCACCUGCAGCAGAAUUCCCCAACCCACCAAGAAUUUGAGAACCCAUCAGAUAUCCUCACCUGGUUUAGCCGGUCGGUUGAAGCUGUUCCUGGGAUUGUGGCCCGUAUUGCAUCCUGACAGCUUCUGGAAGCCAGAGGGUUCCCUUUCCUCCCACUCUGAAGAAGGAGAUGGAGAAGACAGUCAGAACUCCAGGGGAUGGGGCACAAUUCCUCCCCAUUAGGGAUAGAAAUUAAAAUGUGUGAAAUGCGGAA